GAACUAGUCGGACCUCCGAGCUCUUUAAACUGUCCUCAGCCUUCCCCGUGGGAUCGGCUGGUUCUCCACGAGUUCCGAGCAGAAGAGGGGCCGGCGUUUAAGUCAAAGGCCUUGGGGCUCCGAGUCCGUUCGUCUCCCGUCCUGUGAAGGCGCGACCCAGUUCACAUGUCUGUAAAGUGAAGCCAUUAGUCCCUGCUUCGUGGUGAGAAAACUGGAAGGCGGAACGAGGAGGCCGCCGGUCCCAACCCGGCCCAGGAGCAUCUUUCUUCGCAGACCGUUUCCUGGCGAGCUUGAGCAGGAGGUGGAGCGACGGCGGCGGCUGGGGCAGGAGUCAGCAGCUAGGAAAGCCCUCAUCGCGAGUUCCUACCACCCGGCACGGCCUGAGGUCUACGACUCACUGCAGGAUGCAGCUCUGGCCCCCGAGUUUCUGGCCGUGGCUGAGUACAGCGUGUCCCCGGGCGCAGACCUCAAGGGCCUUCUCCAGCGGCUGGAGACACCCUGAAAAGCGAAGGCCUCAUCCCCAUGGCACAGGUGAUGAAACAGGAAGACUGAAGUCCAGGCCUGGCCGGCCCACGGCCAUAUUUAGGCCAACAGACCAUCCCUCCUUCCACAGAGGAGAAGCGCAUCUACCGGGUGCCUGUGUUCACAGCACCCUUCUGCCAGGCCUUGCUGGAAGAGCUGGAGCACUUCGAGCAGUCGGACAUGCCUAAGGGGAGGCCCAACACCAUGAACAACUAUGGG
rnacentral:sRNA from 1 species